AAAUUUAUAGUUGCAUCAGGUAACUUUUUCAAUAUGAAAUUUGAGAUGUCAUCCAACCCACUGAUUUUUUUAUUAUUGAUACGUUGAAAAAUACCUUUAACUUUUUAAUCAGGGUUGCCAAAGUGGUAAUUAUCUUGAUUAUGAACAGCACCAAAAUCAUCAUCAAAGGUAUAAAUGUGACGAGGAAUGGCAUUUGUGAAGCCAAAAUUCUGGAUUGCAAUUCUUCAACUGGAUGUGUGGGUAGUGUUUGGCAGAACGUUUCAGAAUAAAACUCCUGGAACUCGUGCGCAAUUCCGGUGGUGCUGGUGCGUACAUCAUUGUUCCGUACAAUUUGAUGGCAGAAUGGAGCUUUUGUUUUACCCGAUAUUUGGUAAAUGUUCAGUUGGCAGUUGGGCCAGGUUUAAUCUCCUGCAGUCUUUCGUCGAAAUAGCUGACCGUCUCCUUAAUAAUAGUCUUUAUCAGUUGAAUUUGUUUGGAUAGCACAACAUAUCUACUGCCUAUCCGGUUCCCCGUUGGAUGAAAAAUAUUUUUCAAUUUCUUUUGCCAUGUGUGUUUAAUUUUAUAAAAUUUCUUUGCCUUUUCAUAAAGAGGAAAUUUAUUGCCUUGGAUAAGGUUUUGUAUGGUUUGGUAUGGGCGUUGUGCAUGGAACUGAAAGAGAAUUUGAAAUCGUCUAUUAAGGAAUCGAUCUCGUGAUCUUCAAGAUUCGAUGAAGAAAGGGGCAUAUUGCGAAGAGAUCCAGCGUCCAUAUGUUGUACAAAAUUAGACCAAUUUGUAUCUUUAUAGGAGGCAUAUAUUCGGGCUGAUAUCAUCAAAAGUUCCGGUUGAUCAACACGACGAGUCAGCUUAACAGGAAAAUGAUCAGAGAAAGAAUGUGAAAAUUUGGCACGGUUCUGUUCAAUAGAUGUGAGCUUAACAAAAACUGAUCUAAAAAUUAUGAACCAUUUGGAUAUGAAGGCGAAGUGUAACAAAGGCAGCUCACAUCGAGGCUAUUAUCCUCAAGCCAUUUCCGUAAAGUCUUUCCAUUCAUGCCAUCUUUAGGUGCCAUUCCUGAAUGAAGCCAAUGCCGAUUCGAUUGAGAUGAAGAGUAUCCUUUAGGUCUAUUUGUCGACUGAUAUCGACAGGAGAUCUUACAUUGCGCAAAAAUUCUGCUUUGGCCUCGGGUUUUGGCAUGUCUGAAUAUUAAGAAAGAAAAAUGUUGACCUUUUGCUCCAAGGUCAAAUCUUCCGGAUCCAGAAAAAGGGAUGCCAAUUUUAAAAAUUGGUCACUUGGUGGUGGUUUUUGUUGUGGCGCUUUAUUGCGUAAGACAAGCUCUAUUUAUAUUGGCCUUGGUACGCUCCCUCUCCUCAAUGGCCUUAGAUAUCCGUUGCUUAAGGGCAGCAACGCUUGAUGGCCCGUCUCACCACAGUUGUUGCUGAAGGGAUCACUUGAGUCAUCCUUUGUACGCUGACAUUCCCCUGGACCAUGCUCCUUAUCACAUUUUACACAAUUAUAAGCUGAAUUUCAAUUCUUUGAGAUGUGUCCCCAUCGUUGGCAUCUUCUACAUUAAAUUUCGGAAUUUUUUUCUUGGUUUUUCCCACGAAACAAAUUGGUAAUGUAUAGUUCUUACAUUAGAGAUAUGAGAAAGUUUUUUCCCGGCAAUAGUGAAACUAAAAACAGACCUGUAUCUGUACUCCUUUGAGUUUUAUACUUCAUAACCUUUGCAAUUGUAUUCGGGACAUCUUCAUCUUAUCCUGCCUUUAUAUCUUCCGUUUCAGUGUUAGAAGCCAGAAUGAAAGAUGGCUGUUUUAAUUCCUUGGGUGCAAACGAGUAAGAGUGGAUGCCUUUUUCUCGGAGAAGUGCCAUCAUUGGA
rnacentral:sRNA from 1 species